rnacentral:lncRNA from 10 species
CGGGGCUGGAAAGAACAAGAGUGCAUUGGCUCAGGGCCCCCAAGUCUUGGGGAUGACAGAGCGUGGCUAAAUAGAGCCAAGGCAGGCCCAGCCAGUGGGUAGAGCAGCAGUGCCCAGAGAGGCCAUGUCCUUGCCCCUGAGCCUGGGAAUGGGCCACCUUAUGUGGCAGAAGGGACUGAUAUGGUUUAGCUGAGUCCCCAUCCAAAUCUCACCUUGAAUUGUAAGAAUCCCCACGUGUCGUGGGAGGGACAGAGUGGGAGGUAACUGAAUCAUGGGGGUGGGUUUUUCCAGUGCUAUUCUCGUGACAGUGAAUAAGACUCACGAGAUCUGAUGGUUUUAUACAGGGCAGUUCUCCUGCACAUGCUCUCUCUUUGCCUGCUGCCAUGUAAGACGUGCUUUUUCUCCUCCUUCUCCUUCUGCCAUGAUUGUGAGGCCUCCCCAGCCAGGUGGAACAGGAUGCUGGGAGGUACCAGCCUAGCCCUAAAGAGACCAGGAAGUGGGCUGGAAAGAAACAAAGGCAAGGCUUGGAGGAUUAAUCUGUGAUACCUUUAUAGAAACCUGUGAAAGGAAGGAAAGCCUGACUUGCUACAGCACAGAGGAGCCCGGAGGACAUUAUGCUCGAUUAAAUAAGCCCGUCCCCAAACGACAGCUGUAAGGAUCACGCUGACCUUCAGGAGCAAUGAGAACCGGCACUCCCGGCCUGAGUGGAUGCACGGGGAGUGUGUCUAACACACAGGCGUCAACAGCCAGGGCCGCACGAGGAGGAGGAGUGGCAACGUCCACACAGACUCACAACACGGCACUCCGACUUGGAGGGUAAUUAAUACCAGGUUAACUUCUGGGAUGACCUUGGCAACGACCCAAGGUGACAGGCCAGGCUCUGCAAUCACCUCCCAAUUAAGGAGAGGCGAAAGGGGACUCCCAGGGCUCAGAGCACCACGGGGUUCUAGGUCAGACCCACUUUGAAAUGGAAAUCUGGCCUUGUGCUGCUGCUCUUGUGGGGAGACAGCAGCUGCGGAGGCUGCUCUCUUCAUGGGAUUACUCUGGAUAAAGUCUUUUUUGAUUCUACGUUGAGCAUCCCUUAUCUGAAAUGCCUGAAACCGGAAGUGUUUAGGAUUUGGGGAUUUUGCAAUAUUUACUUAUAUAUAAUGAGAUAUCUUGGAGAUGGGCCACAAGUCUGAAAUGAAACAAAAUUCAUUUAUGUUUCAUAUAUACCUUCUACACAUCACCUGGAGCUAAUUUAUAGAAUAU